UGCAAAAGUCUUCGAACCACAGCACAAGUCGCAUAGACCAUGCUUUGAAUCUGGAUCUUGGUCUCCUUUGUGCUUGCUCAAACCCCAUUUUUCAGCAUCUGUGUCAAAAGGAGAUGCUACGUUGAUCAUGACAGGAACCACACAAACGAUGAUCUGAUGAUCUUGUUUUGAGCUAUUAAGCGUUAAGGCCCAGAAGGGAAGCCAUGGGUGCCUGCAGAUCAUGAUAGAGUGUGUUACCGACAUUUCAUUACUGGU